rnacentral:rRNA from 1 species
UGGUAAUGCCGGAUGCUCCAUCACACCGCAUGGUGUGUUGGGAAAGCCUUUGCGGCAUGGGAUGGGGUCGCGUCCUAUCAGCUUGAUGGCGGGGUAACGGCCCACCAUGGCUUCGACGGGUAGCCGGCCUGAGAGGGCGACCGGCCACAUUGGGACUGAGAUACGGCCCAGACUCCUACGGGAGGCAGCAGUGGGGAAUAUUGCACAAUGGGCGCAAGCCUGAUGCAGCGACGCCGCGUGAGGGAUGGAGGCCUUCGGGUUGUAAACCUCUUUUGUUAGGGAGCAAGGCAUUUUGUGUUGAGUGUACCUUUCGAAUAAGCACCGGCUAACUACGUGCCAGCAGCCGCGGUAAUACGUAGGGUGCAAGCGUUAUCCGGAAUUAUUGGGCGUAAAGGGCUCGUAGGCGGUUCGUCGCGUCCGGUGUGAAAGUCCAUCGCUUAACGGUGGAUCCGCGCCGGGUACGGGCGGGCUUGAGUGCGGUAGGGGAGACUGGAAUUCCCGGUGUAACGGUGGAAUGUGUAGAUAU